rnacentral:rRNA from 1 species
UACGUAGGCAGCAAGCGUUGUUCGGAGUUACUGGGCGUAAAGGGUGCGUAGGUGGCUCUAUAAGUAUGGUGUGAAAUCUCCCGGCUUAACUGGGAGGGUGCGCCGUAGACUGUGGGGCUAGAGUGCGGGAGAGGAAAGUGGAAUUCCUGGUGUAGCGGUGAAAUGCGUAGAUAUCAGGAGGAACACCGGUGGUGUAAACGGCUUUCUGGACCAUAACUGACACUGAGGCACGAAAGCGUGGGUAGCAAACAGG